GGGCGGGGCACGGCGGGCCGCGAAGUUUGGGGGUUCGCCCGGGGGCAGGGAGCCCGCGCCCAGAUCCCUCGGUUGGGGUCCCGGGUUUGUGAGACUGCGAGGAACACGUUCUCUGUCCCACACCGCUGAGGCCUGCACAGGUGGGGGGCGCUGGUCUGCCAGAGGCGCUCUUGGCACCAGGGAGGGGCUUCCUGGACCUUAGAUCCCAGAUUUGAGGCCCCCAUCCCACUCGCUGUUUCUGUCCUUUGCGCCUGCUCCUCUCUCUGCCUCCUGCCCUGGGUUCUGGUUCUGCUCCAUCUCUGCCCUCACCCGCCACUCCCCUGUAGCUCCUGGCUGGGCACACACCCCUUCCCAUCCUCCGCAGUCGUUGGGGGAGCCAGAUACAGACCUCCAGGCCAGGGGUGUAUGGAGAUGACAGCUGGGGGCUCAGAGUGGUCCCUCUUGCCCCAUAGCUCUUCAGCCCUUCAGCUCUGACCUAGCUUCUUGGCUGGGGUCCUGGGGGGUGGGGGUGGGAGGCUCUGCUACUCACUUCAGCCUGGCCCUCAUGCCUGCCUGGCCAGGAGAGGGAGGUGCCCGCCUCCUCUCUCCCCUAUCCCUGGCCCGCCAUCUUGAGACCUGUGGCACCCAGUGCCCCACCCGGCGCCAGCACCCAGGGGAGUGGUCUCCAAGGUGAUGAUGCACCCAGGACCAGUUGCAUUCCUUUCUCCCCACCAAGCCCAGGAUGCUCAUGUUCGUGCUGAACCAGCAGGACAUGUGUCCCCAGGGGCUUGCCUUCCGCCACAAAGGCUCUUACAAUCCAUGAACUCCCUAGGAGCUGAGCUCCUGCCCUCCCUGUUCCCUGGGUCACCCUCAUUGCCUCAGGACCAGUACCUGGGACCCUAUUCCUUACCCAUCUGAAAAAAUCCCCUGGUCUUCCCAGGUCCUGGAGCCCCCUCAACCUCCAGGGCACCCCCAUCCCAGCCCCCACCCCCUAGCCUUCAUCAGCAUGCAGGCUCAGGCUGCCCAAACACAAGGGGAUUGUUCUUCUUGCAUGCUCAGGGUGGGGGGCUGGGAGCAGGCAGCCCACACACCCUGGCAGGCCCAGGCCACGAGGAGGCUGGCUUGCCCCACCCUGUGUCCCCAGACAGGCUGUCCACCCUCCCUACUCCCAUCACUGCUGCCCCUCCAGCCUCCAUCACCAUUGCCCAGUGGCGCUGACAUCUUGAGGAAAGAGCUCUGAGCUGCACAGCAACAUCUUUGAGGGGUACAGAGGCCUGAGUGAUCACAUCUGACUUGGAAGCCUGGGGAGGGCUUCACAGAGGAGGUGGCGUUUGAGAAGGAUUUUGACAGAGAGCGGGGAGGAUGGGCGUUUUGAGCUGAGGUAAGCCUGGACAAAGGCCUGAAGGGCUGGAGGUGCUAAGUGUGUUCUGCAGUCUGGCAUGUGUGAAGGAUGGGGUGGAGAUGAGACAAGAGAGACAGGGGCUGGAUCAUGAAGGUCCUUGAUGGCCUGUCUGUGGAGUUCAGGCUUUAUUCUUUGGGCACUGGGCAGCCAUGGGUGGCUGUUGAGCAGCAGAGUAAGCAUACAGUUUUCAGCACGGAGAUUGGAAGCUAGAGGCCUUUCUCAAUGUAGGUGAGAGAGUGAGGGGAUGGGUACCAUGAGGCUGUGGCCUUUCUCCUGGAGCCCAGCCUGGGCCCGGGCUUGACUUGGUUUCCCUUGGUUCCGAAGACUCCUGGGGGCUGCCUAAUGAUGGUGUAUGGAAGCUGUAGCAUUUCUGGCACCUGCCAACUUGUCAGAGCUGCCUUUCCCUUCCUGGCACUUUGUCUAUGUGGCAGAUCUGAAUCAAGAAGCCAGAGGCUGGAACUUGUGGACCCCAGGAUGCUCACCUGAGGCUUCCCACUCCCUUCCUCCUCUCCCAACUGUAGAUGAUUGGCUAUCCCGGGAGGCUGGGAGGCCAAGAGGCUGGGCACAUGUGUCCAAGGAUGCUGGGGCAGUUCUUAUGAAGGCCUGGCUAGUUAGGAGAGUGAGCAUCUCCAGAGAAGGGAUUGGGCAGGAGAGUUAGGAGCCCUCGAUGCAGACGUGCUGUGGCCCAGGGUCCACCCCCACCACACCCUGCCUCCCUGGAUGCUCCGAGCCAUUCCCCAGCAUCUCUGGGUGUGGCUAGCAUGGCUGCUUUGGGAGUGGGAAUAGGAGAAGGGGGCUGCUAGGUGGGGAGUUGGGGGUGCUGAGAGGAUGUGGGGGGAUGUGAGAUGGAGAGUGAAGCCCAGGUGGGUCCACAGGCCCUAGCUGGUCCAGACAUUCUGGCCAGCAGAGCGGAGGGAAUCCCCCAAGGGGCGGGCCAGUCUACUUGAAUCGCCUGGCCCCAGGAGCCCUCCCCUCCCCCGG
rnacentral:lncRNA from 1 species